rnacentral:tRNA from 1 species
CAAAUUAAAGUUUAGAAAAUAUUUCAUUUACAUUGAAAAGAGAUUGAUUUACUUCAUUUGAUUUGA